CCUUGUACACACCGCCCGUCACACCAUGGGAGUGAGCAACACCCGAAGCCGGUGGCCUAACCCGCAAGGGAGGGAGCCGUCGAAGGUGGGGCUCGUGACUGGGGUG
rnacentral:rRNA from 1 species